AGUAACACGUGGGCAAUCUGCCCUGCACUUCGGGAUAAGCCUGGGAAACUGGGUCUAAUACCGGAUAGGACCUUUAGACGCAUGUCUUUUGGUGGAAAGCUUUUGCGGUGUGGGAUGGGCCCGCGGCCUAUCAGCUUGUUGGUGGGGUGAUGGCCUACCAAGGCGACGACGGGUAGCCGGCCUGAGAGGGUGUCCGGCCACACUGGGACUGAGAUACGGCCCAGACUCCUACGGGAGGCAGCAGUGGGGAAUAUUGCACAAUGGGCGCAAGCCUGAUGCAGCGACGCCGCGUGGGGGAUGACGGCCUUCGGGUUGUAAACCUCUUUCACCAUCGACGAAGGUCCGGGUUUUCUCGGAUUGACGGUAGGUGGAGAAGAAGCACCGGCCAACUACGUGCCAGCAGCCGCGGUAAUACGUAGGGUGCGAGCGUUGUCCGGAAUUACUGGGCGUAAAGAGCUCGUAGGUGGUUUGUCGCGUUGUUCGUGAAAUCUCACGGCUUAACUGUGAGCGUGCGGGCGAUACGGGCAGACUAGAGUACUGCAGGGGAGACUGGAAUUCCUGGUGUAGCGGUGGAAUGCGCAGAUAUCAGGAGGAACACCGGUGGCGAAGGCGGGUCUCUGGGCAGUAACUGACGCUGAGGAGCGAAAGCGUGGGGAGCGAACAGGAUUAGAUACCCUGGUAGUCCACGCCGUAAACGGUGGGUACUAGGUGUGGGUUUCCUUCCUUGGGAUCCGUGCCGUAGCUAACGCAUUAAGUACCCCGCCUGGGGGAGUACGGCCGCAAGGCUAAAACUCAAAGGAAUUGACGGGGGGCCCGCACAA
rnacentral:rRNA from 1 species